UAUGCCCUGGGUGCGGCUCUAAAAAAGCAAAAAAAAAGAGAACAAGCACUUAUCUCCACUUCUUUUUAAACUGUUAAUGUUUUUUCAACAUCUCAGGGGACAAACUGGACAGAAGAGGAUUAAGGAGAGACUAUUUUAGAACACACGGAAUAUUUCAUAGACAAACUCAAAUCAAAUGCAGUCUGAAAUGUUCAUGUUUGCCUAGGGUCAUAUGGAUUUAGGCUAAAUACCAUCUAUUUGGGGACUGUCAAAUUGUUUACCCUAAGCACACUAGGCUAGAUCCUAGGUCAGUGUACAUGGAUUUGUAUUCAUCUUUUCCUGCUUUUAAAGAUGGGUGCUAAUUAAAAUUUUCCAUCACAGAUGACUUUGGGAAGAGGAAGAAGAAGAUUAUAAGAUGGGAUUACCUUGCAUAUUAUACUGAUAGUAAUUAGGAUCUUCUGAUUCUUUCUUGACUGACACAGCUGCUGCUUUCAGUGAAAUGCCUUUGAAUGCAAUGGAAAUUAUAAAAUUACAUGUUAGGCUAAACCCACCAACAGAGAGAGGUGACUGGCUAAUAUUUUUUCCAGGUUCUGUUUGGAUUAACACAGCAACAUGGCAAUCAGCAAAGGAACUCAUGCACUAUGAACAAAUGGUUUAUCCGUAUAAAAUAUAGAAUCCACAAAAGAGGAAAGAAGGAGAGAGGGAUGAAGGGAGGGAGGAACAGAAGAUGAGAAGAAAGAGGGCUAGUUUCCAGUUGGGGGACAUUUUCCCUUGCAGGGUGGCUAAAUAUGGGCAUGCAUUUGCAUGAAAUAUUGUAACUAUUCUUUUUGUCACAGAUGGUCUUCAUUCACCUACGACAACAGAAUGGAUUUAAAACCACUGCCUUAGUAAAACCCAAGGGCUUUAUCAGGGAAAGGUGCGGUAGACGGUAAAGCUUAGCCACAAAUGUCUCCCAUCCCAGCAUAUACACCUGUUUGCAAUGUGACUUCCCCACUCCAAGUUUCUGGAAGUGGAAAUCUCCAGCUUUUAAAGCUGCGCCUGGCCAUGUGACUUGCUUGGACCAAUGGGGUCCAAACAGAGGCUUGAGCCUUGCUCGUGCACCCGGGCCUGCUGUUCUGGGGGCAGAGUGGCCCAGAGAACGAGCCUGAGCGAGCCUCCUGGAGAUCUGAGACCACAAGGAGAAAGGAGCCCGCCUUUCCCAGCCGAGGCCUAAGCCCCAGGAGCGAAGCCAGUCCGGGCCAGAAGGAAGGCCUGGCCAACACACAGAACGACUGUGACAUUUAAGGUGGAGCUUCUACCAAGCACCUGUUGACAUGUGGCCAGGAGAGACCCGGGGGAUUUGACCCAGGAGGAGUCAGGCUCUGAGACUGGUCCAUUCCUGAUCCAGGGACCUGGGAGGCAGCUGAGUAUAGACCACACCUGACACCUUCAGCAACGAUGCUGCUCUCACCUCCGUUUCACUGGAGACCAUGUGGCUCAGACGCACAGGAACGGUCACACAGCCCAGACCCACUCUUGAGCCCAACAGCGCCCGGCCCACGGCUGGUGGUUAAAGACCAGGAAGGCAGCCCAGCGUCCUCACACUCCUGUGCAAGGUAGGUCUCCUGCCCCCCACGGGCUGGACACAGAGGAUGGUCUGCACGGAAGGUGGGAGGAGGGUGGCAUCUCCGCAAACGUCACCACUGCCCCCUGCCAGAAAUGUCAGAGAGAUGACCUUCUCAAGCAGGAAAGGCAAAGCACAAACAAGCUUCAGAAUGUGCCAGACUUACACUGUAAUUAAGAGGAGCAGAUAAAGAGGAUGUGGUACAUAUACACAAUGGAAUAUUACUCAGCCAUUAAGAGGAAAGAAAGAACGGCAUUGCAGUAACAUGGAUGGACCUAGAAAUUAUCAUGCUAAGUGAAGUUAGUCAGGCAGUGAGACACCAACAUCAAAUGCUGUCACUUGCAUGUGAAAUCUUAAAAAGGGACAUAAUGAACUUCUAUGCAGAGCAGAUACGGACUCACAGACUUUGAAAAACUUACGGUUUCCAAAGGAGAGA